UCCAGGGAUUCGUGAGCUCAUCCCAAACUAAUUGGUAAACCAACCGGAAGUAGGUAUCGUUCCAGGCAGCAGACGAUGGAAGUUCAAGGCACGUCCUAAACAUCGCCAGGUCUUUUUUCCAAUCGGAAGCAUAGCUUCACACCAGGAAGUAGGCUGCGAUGAGGAAUGCACAAGGUAGGGUUCUGUGUACAAGGCAGGGUUCUAGAAGCUGGGAGGAUGCAGAGGUUCCCUGGAGGAACAGCAGAGGGAGUUUUUGUUUACUUGCUGACUACUCGCUGUGCCUUGAGGAUACUGAAGAGCAGAAGGCAUCGUCCUGCUCCUUUCGUUCUGACUGAAGAGGGCCCCAGAGGCUCGGCAGAGAACUUGACCUUUGUCCAGAGGCUGAUAAAAAGUCAACAGGUAUUACGAGCAGGGAGGAGGCAGCGGAGCGAGGAAGGCACUUGGCACGAUUUGCUGGAGCGGAGCGCUGGCAGGGGAGUGCAAGUGGGGAAUGCCCCUGGCAGUGCUGCAGCAGGGCCAGCGCGGGGCCAGACUUCGUUCAAGCAAAACCUCUUAAUGACACGGAACUUUUAAGAGAGAAACGCCAGUAGCUAAGAGAAAUAAAAAUGAGGCUGUUGUGGCUGAAACAGGAGUAUGGAAGCUGAGUCCUUAGCCACGGGGCCUCUUUCUCACCUUCUUACAAUCCCCACAGUGAUGAGUUGGCUAGUUUUUAAAAACCGAAUCGGACGUUGGAAGCACCAUGGGUGCACCUCUGCGCUGGAGGGGGCAAUGCGGCCUCGAAAGGCCGGCUACAGGAACUGAAUUCCAGAGCUGGGGCCUCAGGCGUAGUCUCCAGGACACGAGUUCCUGUCUGUGAACUGGGCCGGCUGCGUGGGCACGGGACAGCAGCUCAGUUAGUGCCCAAUGCUGACAUGUUCCCUGCCUGCCUGAGGAAUGCGUGGUGCAUCCGCGACGCCAGUGCGUGGGGCUGGCAUCGCGGACGCCAGGAGGAGGUCUGGUGUGAAAGAAAGAAGCGCUCCACACACAAGAGACCCAGUAAUUUGUUGGUUUCAUUCUCAGAGCAAUUUAGCACCUUUACUGCCAGAUGGCGCCAGUGAGCAGCGCUGCCCUUUCCGAAGGCUUUUCUUUCCACCCUUUGGGGCGCUAGGGGAAGAGAUCUGGUUGAUUUAUAAAUUCUUACGCACCUCAGAGCAAUUCUUUGGCUGUGUGUUUCCAGGAAGGUCAUACAUCGAACUGUCCAGCAAGUUUUCGCUGGCUGCCUGCUGUGUAUCCGGUCCUUUGAUAUGGUCCAAGGAUGCAAAAGGAAACAAGACAGUUUCCAAGGCUACCACUCUCCCGUGGGGGAGACGGACCCACAAACAAAGGGUUAUGAUGAGACGCCCGACAUAGAAAGAUGGAGACGCACACAGAGCAUUGGAGGAACACGGAAUGCCUGGAAGUGCUGGCAACGUUUCCUCUUUGCCUCCAGAGGGGACCUGAACUGGUGGACAGAGAGAGGGGGCUUCUGAGGGCUCCCGUUCUGGUUUGCAAAACAGACGGUGUGUUCCCGGCCAAUAAUUCCGAAGGCCGCAGGCUCCCACGGACCCUGUCCCUCCUGACUCCCUCCCUUGCCUCACGCUGCCAGCAAGCUUGUUGAUGUUAAAGUGGAAAUGGGCCUCCUCUUUCCUGGCAGUAACCCCUGCUGUGUAGUCCUCAGACCUCCUCCCUCUGGGCAGGAAGCCCCACACCCUGCAGGGGCCUCCAGGAUCCCAGCAGCCCCUCUUCCUGCAACUCCUGGGCUCCCUCGGGCCCCGUCCAUCCAGCACUCCAGGGGCAUGAACCUUACAGACACACGGGCCUCCCUGAGCCGUUCCCGGUGACCUCACGGUCUGCCGGAAACACUGCGCAGUGGUACAUCUAUUUUUUAAAAAAAGAUGAGCAGGAAUAGGGAUAUCAGCACCUGGUGAGCCCGAGGGGAAACACUGCGGGAGGCCCGCGUUCUAGUCCCAGUUCCCUUACUUACCAGCUACAUCCACGCCUUCCCACCGCGGUGGGACCCCCUGGUCCAGGCUGCCCUCCCUUCUGCCCUCAACUAUUCCACCUCAUUGUCCGGUGCGCCCCCUAUAAUUCACUCUCCACAUGGCAGCCAGAGGGACCUUUUAGAAAUGUAAAUCGGAACAUGCUGCUUCUCUAUUAAAACUUGCACAUAUUUUCACUGCGCUGAGAAUAAAAUCCAGACUCCUCACCACGUCCUGUUACACCUUCCAUGACCCGGCAUCCGCCCACCC